rnacentral:rRNA from 1 species
UAAUGGCCUACCAAGGCGACAAUCCGUAGCUGGUCUGAGAGGACGACCAGCCACACCGGAACUGAGACACGGUCCGGACUCCUACGGGAGGCAGCAGUGGGGAAUAUUGGACAAUGGGGGAAACCCUGAUCCAGCGACGCCGCGUGUGUGAAGAAGGCCUGCGGGUUGUAAAGCACUUUUAGUGGGGACAAAAAGCUACGGAUUAAUACCCUGUGGUCUUGAUUUAACCCAAAGAAAAAGCACCGGCUAACUCUGUGCCAGCAGCCGCGGUAAUACAGAGGGUGCGAGCGUUAAUCGGAAUUACUGGGCGUAAAGCGCGCGUAGACGGUUUUGUAAGUCAGAUGUGAAAACCCUGGGCUCAACCUGGGAACUGCAUUUGAGACUGCAUGGCUAGAGUAUCGAAGAGGGAAGUGGAAUUUCCGGUGUAGCGGUGAAAUG